CGGAUUGAAGGCUGAAAUUCGCCUUCAUGAAGCUGGAAUUGCUAGUAAUGGCAGGUCAGCAUACUGCCGUGAAUACGUUCCCGGGCCUUGUACACACCGCCCGUCACACCAUGAGAGUUGGAAAUACCCGAAGCCUGUGAGCUAACAGUAAUGAGGCAGCAGUCGAAGGUAGAGCCAAUGAUUGGGGUGAAGUCGUAACAAGGUAUC
rnacentral:rRNA from 1 species